rnacentral:misc_RNA from 1 species
UACGGGAGGCAGCAGUGGGGAAUUUUGGACAAUGGGGGAAACCCCUGAUCCAGCCAUCUCAUGUGCGAUGAAGGGGCUCGGGGUUGCAAAGCACUUUUGCAGUGAAGAAACGGCACGAUAAUACCUCAAAAUCGACGGAAAUGCAGAAUAAGCACCGGCUACACCACGUACCCAGCCGCGGUAAUACGUAGGGUGCAAGCGUUAAUCGGAAUUGCCGGCGAAGGCAGCAGGUGGGCGGGUUCCUGGAAAGAAAGAUGUGAAAUCCCAGAGCUUUAACUUGAACCGCAUUUUUAACUACCGAGCUAGAGUGUGUCAGAGGGAGGUGGAAUUCCGCAGUGAAAUGCGUAGAUAUGCGGAGGAACACUGAUGGCGAAGGCAGCCUCCUGGGAUAACACUGACGUGCUCAUGCACGGCGCGUGGGGAGCAAACAGGAUUAGAUACCUCGUAGU